CCUACGGGAGGCAGCAGUGAGGAAUAUUGGUCAAUGGGCGUAAGCCUGAACCAGCCAAGUCGCGUGAGGGAUGAAGGUUCUAUGGAUCGUAAACCUCUUUUAUAAGGGAAUAAAGUGCGGGACGUGUCCCGUUUUGUAUGUACCUUAUGAAUAAGGAUCGGCUAACUCCGUGCCAGCAGCCGCGGUAAUACGGAGGAUCCGAGCGUUAUCCGGAUUUAUUGGGUUUAAAGGGUGCGUAGGCGGCCUUUUAAGUGAGCGGUGAAAGUCUGUGGCUCAACCAUAGAAUUGCCGUUGAAACUGGGAGGCUAGAGUAUGUUUGAGGCAGGCGGAAUUCGUGGUGGAGCGGUGAAAUGCUUAGAUA
rnacentral:rRNA from 1 species